rnacentral:rRNA from 1 species
GACGAACGCUGGCGGCGUGCCUAAUACAUGCAAGUCGAGCGGAAGUUGGAGAGCUUGCUCUUCAACUUUAGCGGCGGACGGGUGAGUAACACGUGGGCAACCUGCCCUGCAGAUCGGGAUAACUCCGGGAAACCGGUGCUAAUACCGAAUAGUUUUCGCCACCUCCUGGUGGCGUACGGAAAGACGGUUUCGGCUGUCACUGCAGGAUGGGCCCGCGGCGCAUUAGCUAGUUGGUGGGGUAACGGCCCACCAAGGCGACGAUGCGUAGCCGACCGGGGAGGGUGAUCGGCCAUACUGGGACUGAGACACGGCCCAGACUCCUACGGGAGGCAGCAGUAGGGAAUCUUGCGCAAUGGACGAAAGUCUGACGGAGCAACGCCGCGUGAGUGACGAAGGUUUUCGGAUCGUAAAACUCUGUUGUGAGGGAAGAACAAGUACCAACUAACUACUGGUACCUUGACGGUACCUCACCAGAAAGCCACGGCUAACUACGUGCCAGCCGCCGCGGUAAGAC